rnacentral:rRNA from 1 species
UAACCUGCCCAUCAGAGGGGGAUAACAUUCGGAAACGGAUGCUAAAACCGCAUAGGUCUUCGAACCGCAUGGUUUGAGGAGGAAAAGAGGCGCAAGCUUCUGCUGAUGGAUGGACCCGCGGUGCAUUAGCUAGUUGGUGAGGUAACGGCUCACCAAGGCCGUGAUGCAUAGCCGACCUGAGAGGGUGAUCGGCCACAUUGGGACUGAGACACGGCCCAA